rnacentral:rRNA from 1 species
CCUACGGGCGGCUGCAGUGGGGAAUAUUGGACAAUGGGGGCAACCCUGAUCCAGCCAUGCCGCGUGUGUGAAGAAGGCCCUCGGGUUGUAAAGCACUUUCAGUGAGGAAGAACGCCUGGUGGUUAAUACCCAUCAGGAAAGACAUCACUCACAGAAGAAGCACCGGCUAACUCCGUGCCAGCAGCCGCGGUAAUACGGAGGGUGCGAGCGUUAAUCGGAAUUACUGGGCGUAAAGCGCGCGUAGGUGGCUUGAUAAGCCGGUUGUGAAAGCCCCGGGCUCAACCUGGGAACGGCAUCCGGAACUGUCAAGCUAGAGGGCAGGAGAGGAAGGUAGAAUUCCCGGUGUAGCGGUGAAAUGCGUAGAGAUCGGGAGGAAUACCAGUGGCGAAGGCGGCCUUCUGGACUGAUACUGACACUGAGGUGCGAAAGCGUGGGUAGCAAACAGGAUUAGAUACCCUUGUAGUC